GUGGGGAAUAUUGCGCAAUGGGCGAAAGCCUGACGCAGCGACGCCGCGUGGGUGAUGAAGGCCUUCGGGUCGUAAAACCCUGUCGGGUGGAACGAAUCUCCGCCUUAUUAAUACCAAGGCGGAAUGACGGUACCACCGAAGGAAGCCCCGGCUAACUACGUGCCAGCAGCCGCGGUAAUACGUAGGGGGCGAGCGUUGUUCGGAUUUACUGGGCGUAAAGAGCGUGUAGGCGGUUCGAUGAGUCGGAGGUGAAAUCCCUCGGCUCAACCGAGGACCCGCGUCCGAUACUGUCGAACUUGAGUGCAGGAGAGGAGAGCGGAAUUCCCAGUGUAGCGGUGAAAUGCGUAGAUAUUGGGAGGAACACCGGUGGCGAAGGCGGCUCUCUGGACUGCUACUGACGCUGAGGCGCGAAAGCUAGGGGAGCAAACGGGAUUAGAAACCCUUGUAGUCC
rnacentral:rRNA from 1 species